GCAUUAAUAGAAAGUUUUCAGCGCUGUUAAAAAGCUUUUUUCGUAAAUUUUAAGCCGGUUUUCAAGAAUACAUAUUCAUGUUGACGGACUGACCGCGCUCUUCGCAUGCGUGAAAAGACUGGGACUGGCCUUCAAGUUUGGCUUCAAAUUUCCGGUGGAAGGUAUCGUUCCAGUUAUAUUCAUUUCAGUGGUGAGAGGUAGCGGUAGUCAAAUCUGAAGUCUGAACCAGGACCGCAGAACCAGAAGG